GGGGGUAUAACUCAGUGGUAGAGUGUGUGCUUAGUAUGCCCAAGGUCUUGAGUUGAAUCCCCCAAUACCUCUG
rnacentral:tRNA from 1 species